rnacentral:rRNA from 1 species
UCAAAUAACUAAGAGCAUAAGGUGAAUGCCUUGGCACCAAGAGCCGACGAAGGACGCGGUAAGCUGCGAAAAGCUACGUCAAGAUGCAAACAAUCGCUAUUAGACGUAGAUGUCCCAAUGGGGAAACCCACUCUGUAAGAGUAUCCAUAUAUGAAUAAAAUAGUAUAUGCGAAGGAAGACCCGGUGAACUGAAACAUCUAAGUAACCGGAGGAAAAGAAAGAAAAAUCGAUACCCUAAGUAGCGGCGAGCGAACGGGGUAGAGCCCAACAUAACGACACGUACCUUAAAAGUUAGACGAAUAAUCUGGAAAGAUUAGCAAAAAAAGGUGACAGCCCUGUAGUCGAAAACAAAAAAGGACCAGUUAGAAAGAGUAGCACAGGACACGAGAAAUCCGGUGUGAAGACAGGAGGACCACCUCCUAAGGCUAAAUACUACUUGGUGACCGAUAGCGAACAAGUACCGUGAGGGAAAGGUGAAAAGAACCCCGGGAGGGGAGUGAAAGAGAAUCUGAAACCUUAUGUUUACAAGCAGACAAAGCACAAAAAUUAAAGUGCAAUGUCGUACUUUUUGUAGAACGGGCCAGCGAGUUACGAUACUAAGCAAGAUUAAGCAUCACAGAUGCGCAGUCGAAGAGAAAUCGAGUCUUAACAGGGCGAAAGUUUAGUGUCGUAGACCCGAAACCGGGUGAUCUAUCCAUGGGCAGAGUGAAGUUUAGGUAAAACUAAAUGGAGGCUCGAACCGGGUAAGGUUUAAAACUUAUCGGAUGACCUGUGGAUAGGGGUGAAAAGCCAAACGAACUCGGAGAUAGCUGGUUCUCCUCGAAAUAGCUUUAGGGCUAGCCUCUAGGAAAAGAUAAGAUGGGGGUAGAGCACUGAAUUGUUGCGAGCCAAUACGGUAUCAAAACAUAUCAAACUCCGAAUACCAACUUAUAGCCUAGGGAGUCAGACAUAGUGGGAUAAGCUUCUAUGUCGAAAGGGAAAGAGCCCAGACCACCAGCUAAGGUCCCAAAAUUUUAAUUAAGUGGUAAAGGAUGUGGAGUUACGUAGACAACCAGGAUGUUGGCUUAGAAGCAGCCACACAUUUAAAGAGUGCGUAAUAGCUCACUGGUCGAGUGAUUCUGCGCCGAAGAUUUCCGGGGCUAAAUUAAAUACCGAAGCUGUGGAUUGGAAACAAUGGUAGAGGAGCAAUGUAUGAGAGCAGAAGCAUAAUCGGAAGGAUAUGUGGAUUUCAUACAAGAGAGAAUGCUGGCAUGAGUAGCGAGAGGCAAGUGAGAAUCUUGCCCGUCGAAAGCCUAAGGUUUCCUGGGGAAGGCUCGUCCCCCCAGGGUAAGUCGGGACCUAAGCCGAGGCAGAAUAUGCGUAGGUGAUGGACAACAGGUUGAAAAUCCUGUACUAUUAAGAUCAAUUAGACGUGGGGACGCAGGAGGAUAGCGAAGCGAGCAGAAGGACGCUCGUCCAAAUACAAAGUCCGCUAAGUAGGCAAAUCCGCUUAGCACUAAAGAUGAUGUAUGAUGGGGAUCGAAAACUAAGUAGAGAAGGAAGUGAUUUCACACUGCCAAGAAAAGCCACUAUAUACCCUUAAUACCCGUACCGCAAACCGACACAGGUAGGCGAGAAGAGAAUUCUAAGACGCGCGGAAGAACCUUUGUUAAGGAAUUCGGCAAAAUGACCCCGUAAGUUAGCGAGAAGGGGAGCCAUAGCAAUAUGGCCGCAGUGAAUAGGCCCAAGCGACUGUUUACCAAAAACACAAGUUUCUGCCAAAUCGAAAGAUGAAGUAUAGGAGCUGACACCUGCCCGGUGCUGGAAGGUUAAAGGGAAGAGUUAGCGAAAGCGAAGCUUAGAACUGAAGCCCCAGUAAACGGCGGCCGUAACUAUAACGGUCCUAAGGUAGCGAAAUUCCUUGUCGGGUAAGUUCCGACCCGCACGAAAGGUGUAACGAUUUGGGCACUGUCUCAACAAAGGAUCCGGUGAAAUUGUAGUAUGCGUGAAGAUGCGCAUUACCCACGACAGGACGGAAAGACCCCAUGGAGCUUUACUGUAGGUUGACAUUGGGUUUUGAGGCUGAAUGUACAGGAUAGGUGGGAGACAAAGAAGCAUGUACGCCAGUAUGUGUGGAGUCGGCCUUAGGAUACCACCCUUUCAUCCUUAGAAUUCUAACCGUGCACCUUGAACCAGGUCACGGGACACUGUCAGUCGGGCAGUUUGACUGGGGCGGUCGCCUCCCAAAGAGUAACGGAGGCGUUCAAAGGUUUCCUCAGCACGGACGGAAAUCGUGCAAAGAGUGCAAAGGCAAAAGGAAGCUUAACUGUGAGAGCAACAACUCGAACAGAUACGAAAGUAGGACUUAGUGAUCCGGUGGUACCGCGUGGAAGGGCCAUCGCUUAACGGAUAAAAGCUACCCUGGGGAUAACAGGCUUAUCUCCCCCAAGAGUUCACAUCGACGGGGAGGUUUGGCACCUCGAUGUCGGCUCGUCUCAUCCUGGGGCUGAAGUAGGUCCCAAGGGUUGGGCUGUUCGCCCAUUAAAGAGGCACGCGAGCUGGGUUCAGAACGUCGUGAGACAGUUCGGUCCCUAUCCGUCGUGGGCGUAGGAAAUUUGAGAGGCUCUGUCCUUAGUACGAGAGGACCGGGAUGGACAAACCAAUGGUGUAUCAGUUGUCGCGCCAGCGGCAUAGCUGAGUAGCUAAGUUUGGCAAGGAUAAGCGCUGAAGGCAUCUAAGCACGAAACCACCCUCAAGAUGAGAUUUCCAAGGUAAGGAAGACCCCUUGAAGAAAACGAGGUAGAUAGGACGCACGUGUAAGUGUAGCAAUACACUCAGCAAAGCGUUACUAAUAGGUCGAAAAUUUGACCAA